UGGGAUGUGGCUCAAGUGGUAGCGCACUCGCCUAGCAUGCGUGAGGCCCUGGGUUCGAUUCUCAGCACCACAU
rnacentral:tRNA from 1 species